rnacentral:rRNA from 1 species
UACGUAGGGUGCGAGCGUUGUCCGGAAUUAUUGGGCGUAAAGAGCUCGUAGGCGGUUUGUUGCGUCUAUCGUGAAAACCUGCAGCUUAACUGUGGGCUUGCGGUGGAUACGGGCAGACUUGAGUUCGGUAGGGGAGACUGGAAUUCCUGGUGUAGCGGUGAAAUGCGCAGAUAUCAGGAGGAACACCGGUGGCGAAGGCGGGUCUCUGGGCCGAUACUGACGCUGAGGAGCGAAAGCGUGGGGAUCAAACAGG